GACGAACGCUGGCGGCGUGCUUAACACAUGCAAGUCGAACGGACAGACGAUGCUUGCAGGGUACUCGAGUGGGGAACGGGCGAGUAAGAAACGGGUGAACAGCCCAGCAAUAAGGGAUAAGUAAGGGAGACAGGGUCGAAUAAAGGACAGGAGAUAUAUUGAGUGGGGUGGUUGGAAAGUUUUUUCGGUGUAGGAUGAGAUUGAGACGUAGCAGCGUGUUGGUGGGGUAAUGGCCUAACAAGGCGGCGACGGGUAGCCGGCCUGAGAGGGUGUACGGCCACUUCGGGACUGUGAUACAGGCCAGACUCCUGCGUGUUGCAGCAGUGGCGAAUAUUUGACAAUGCGCGCCAGCCUGAUGCAUCGACGCCUCGUGAUCGAUGAACGCCUUCGUUUUGUAAACUCCUUUCUCUAGGUACGAAGCUUUGUUUUGACGGUACCUAGUUAAGAAGCCCCGGCUAACUACGUG
rnacentral:rRNA from 1 species